GCCAAUUUUAAUCAUGCUUUGAAUCUUGAAUUUUAGUUCUGGACAAUCUUUAGUGUCAUGUCCUUGAAUGUUUGAAUAUUAGGCACAACUUUUGGAUAAAUCAAAGUUUGCGGAUGGAUACUUAGGUAUGAAUCCCUUUCUGUGUUGCAAAAGUCCCUCAGUUCUCAAUCUCUCAAAUAUAUCCAUCAAUGAAUCAUCUAGAGGAGUGAAGGAGAAAGAUUUUAUCUUCUUCUGUGGCGCGAAGUAUAUUGCCCUUGGUGACACUGUU
rnacentral:lncRNA from 1 species